ACGUAGGGAGCGAGCGUUAUCCGGAUUUAUUGGGCGUAAAGCGUGCGUAGGCGGUUUAUUAAGUCUAAGAUUAAAGCCCGAGGCUUAACCUCGGUUUGUUUUAGAUACUGGUAGGCUUGAGUAUGGUAGAGGCAAAUGGAAUUCCUAGUGUAGCGGUGGAAUGCGUAGAUAUUAGGAGGAACACCAGUGGCGAAGGCGAUUUGCUGGGCCAUUACUGACGCUGAGGCUCGAAAGCGUGGGGAGCAAACAG
rnacentral:rRNA from 1 species